rnacentral:rRNA from 1 species
UACAGAGGGUGCGAGCGUGUUCGGAAUUACUGGGCGUAAAGCGCGCGCAGGCGGCUUCCUAAGUCCGUUGGUGAAAGACCGGGGCUCAACCCCGCGUCAGCCAUGGAUACUGGGAGGCUGGAGACAGGUAGAGGCAAGCGGGAAUUCCGGGUGUAGCGGUGGAAUGCGUAGAGAUCCGGAAGAACACCGAUGGGCGAAGGCAGCC